ACUCCUACCCUGGGCGGAGCCGGCUCUAGGAAGACCGGAUUCCUCUCCCUUCCCCUCCCCGGAUUCUUUCAGCCCUCACCUCCCAGGAAUGGGGAGGGGGCAUCCUACCCCAUAUCUGAGGUGCGACUGCGGGACGUAGAGCGGACUGGGCCUUUCCCGUUGGCGCGUGGCCUCAAUCAGAACUUCACAUCAAUGUAGUGCUCCCAAACUUUGGCAGUUGCAACUGAUCGUGUGAUAAAUCAUUCAGGCCAAGUGAGAGACAGUAAGAGAAAUGCAAAAGAGCCCAUGGCCUGUGACACUACUUCCAGUUCUACCACCCACCCGGGGGAACUUCCUUCUUGAUCCCCAAAGGCAAGUUGAGGCAAGUAACAGUUGGAUGUCACCCUGUUUAUCCUGGGAACAUUGGCCUGCAGUCAACAGCAGAAGUGCAUUUUUAGGUGGAAGAUGAAUGUCUGGAUAGCAGUCUCUGAUGGAGAGGCACAUGUGUCCACAUGGAUCUCUCUCUGAAUUCAGGUGGAAUGAAGGAAUCUGUUCUAUUUGGGAACUUUUCUGCUACUGGCACUUCCAAGAGGAGAAGCUUCUCCCAAAGUUCCAGGCUUGGAGGUUCAUCCUCCCAUUAUCUUUACAUUCUGUGUCAUGCCAAGGAAAGAAGACAUGCCACCUAUUACCUUGAGAAGUUCCCGUAGGUCCCUUACUAUUCUUAAACUCUACAAAGUGGGUGUGACCCCCAUCCCUGUGCAUGCUCCUUUGUUAACUUUGGCCACUCAUUCUUCACAUUCUUGAAAGCGCCAGAACCCACCAAUAAAUGGCCGGGUCCUCUGCUUAACCAGAUUGUUUCCUGCAAAGCGACAUGUCCUCCAAGCUUCAAUCUCACAUGCCAUGUUGGAUCUGGCCUAAUUCCACCUCCAAUACAGAGGAGGCAUGGAGAUGUCUGGGUUAAUGUGCCAGGUCAUAGCACCAUUUACAGCGUUUUCUGAGUGUACCCCAGCAGUCCUUUCUGGCAUGUAGCAGGCUCUCUCCACAAGAAGCCCAAUUGGUUCUUCCUUCUGCAUGCUCUUGGCUUCCUGGACUUCAGAAGGCCAAGGAAGACUCUCUUCCCUCCCAGUUUAAACCUAAACAUGGCAAGGACCUGGGAACUCCCCAAAGAACAGGAGGGAGCCUUGGAAGGUUCCAAAACAGAAACGAGCACAGGUUCCAAGACAACCAUCUGAUCCUUUGAGACAUAGACACAACAAAUGAGGUCCUCAGGGGUGCAUAGUAUCUCAUGGUGGCCAGGCCUGGUGUUGCCUCAAUCUCAUCUAGUAAAGUCUGGGUUUAGGCCCCACAGGGCCCCAGACAGCACAUCUUCUUCUUUAAGAUGGUGGACCAUCCCAGCACUGGCCAUCUCAGGCACCAAUAGCCAAAGAAUUACAGUGCUGGGAGUGAUCUUUCACUAGGGUGCACUAUGGCCAAGGGAGUCUCUCAGGGCCUGGGACCCACCUAGGCCUUCCCACCCAUUGUUCCCAGGGGAAAGGGAACCAGGCAAAAUGCCCAUGGCCUUGAGAUGGGGCUCCCUGGUGGAGGCCUUUGCUAGUCUUGCCCAGACAUGGCUGCCACCAGCCUCUUGAGCCACAGCUUUCUGUAUGGGACCCGCCAGGUGUCCUGGAUGUCCAGCUCUUUUUGACACCUGUCCCUGGAGUUUCCAGAACCUGAACAGGUCAUGAGCCAUGCUUCCCGCAUGCCUCUGGAUAGCUUAUAUGGGCAGAGCUCCUAGUCUUGCCUGAAUCCUGACAGUACUACCAAGCCACUCCUCCCCAAGCAACCACAGGGAAGGGUGAUUGUGAUUGCCAUACAUGUUCCUCUUGAUGGCAGUACUGUACCAGAAUUACCAGCAAACUUCCUCCCCUCCCUCAAGAUCCUGUCCCUGUGCCAUCUGUUAUUAAAGAAACAGCCAAGAAGUA
rnacentral:lncRNA from 1 species